UUUCAGAUGUCCGAAAAAAGCGUAUAUAAAGGCGUACAUGAUCUCGAUUCCGGCAUAACUCAUCUUUGUGCAGAUAUAUUCUUUGUUUUCACAUCAAUCUUCAAAAACCAACCAACAAAUCCAAAAUGGGCGCAGAAAAAGUAUCCAUGAACAUCGUCGUCGUUGGACAAGUCCAGUCUGCCAAAGCAGUCAAGGCUGUCGCCAAGGCCACCCCAACCACCAGCCAAUUGAUGAACUGUUAAUUCUUGUAAUAUUCAUCACAAGCUCAAAAAUGCCAUAGACCAAACAAUAAAUUAUUAUGUAAAUCUUAUUGAUACUGACAUCAUGAAAUAAAAUAGUCACUUCCGGUAUUUAACUAA